rnacentral:tRNA from 1 species
GUCCCCGUAGCUCAGAUGGAUAGAGUACUGGCCUCCGAAGCCGGGAGCGGCAGUUCGAUCCUGCCCGGGGACACCA